rnacentral:rRNA from 1 species
GUGGGGAAUUUUGGACAAUGGGCGCAAGCCUGAUCCAGCAAUGCCGCGUGCAGGAAGAAGGCCUUCGGGUUGUAAACUGCUUUUGUACGGAACGAAACGGUCCUGGCUAAUAUCCGGGGCUAAUGACGGUACCGUAAGAAUAAGCACCGGCUAACUACGUGCCAGCAGCCGCGGUAAUACGUAGGGUGCGAGCGUUAAUCGGAAUUACUGGGCGUAAAGCGUGCGCAGGCGGUGCUGUAAGACAGGCGUGAAAUCCCCGGGCGCAACCUGGGAAUUGCGCUUGUGACUGCAGUGCUGGAGUGCGGCAGAGGGGGAUGGAAUUCCGCGUGUAGCAGUGAAAUGCGUAGAUAUGCGGAGGAACACCGAUGGCGAAGGCAAUCCCCUGGGCCUGCACUGACGCUCAUGCACGAAAGCGUGGGGAGCAAACAGGAUUAGAAACCCGAGUAGUCC